rnacentral:rRNA from 1 species
UACGUAGGGUGCGAGCGUUAAUCGGAAUUACUGGGCGUAAAGCGUGCGCAGGCGGUUUUGUAAGCCAGAUGUGAAAUCCCCGGGCUUAACCUGGGAAUGGCAUUUGGGACUGCAAGGCUCGAGUGCGGCAGAGGAGACGUGGAAUUCCUGGUGUAGCAGUGAAAUGCGUAGAUAUCAGGAGGAACACCGAUGGCGAAGGCCAGGUCUCUGGGCUGACACUGACGCU